rnacentral:misc_RNA from 1 species
CGCCCGCCGUCUCCACCGCCACGCCGAGCCGCGCGCGCCACGUCAACGCGCCGCGGCCCCCGGUGCUGGCGCCCGCGGAGUGGAGGUGCUGGGAGAGCGUGCCGUUGGGCACGUACUCGUAGACGAGCACCUGCUCGCCGCCGUCGAGGCAGCAGCCGAGGAGGCGGACCAGGUUCGGGUGGCUCACGGAGGAGAUGAGCUUGAUCUCGUUCAGCAGCAGCGCCGCCUCCGCAGCCGCGUCCUCGUCCUCGUCGUGGUGGUGGCGUCGGCGCAGGCGCUUGAUGGCCACCAGCGCCGGCGCGCUGCCCGUGCCCGGGAGCUUGCCCACGUACACGGUGCCGUACGCGCCCGUGCCCAGGCGGUGUGUGUGCGAGAAGGAGUUGGUCGCGCGCGCGAUCUCGCCGUACGAGUACACCGGCACGCCGCUCGACGUCGCCGCCUCCGACAGCAGCCGCAUCGCCGCCAGCCGCUCCGACGCCGAGCGCCCGGCCUUGCGCCGCCGGCACUGCAGCCAGCACAGCAGAAGCGCGCCGGUGGCCGCCGCCACGCUCGCCGCAACACCUGCCGUCAGAAUUGACAAAUCUCAUCAUUCCAGGUCUACUGCAGCAGUCUGCAACAAAAAUCUGACUUCACUAUACAAAAGAUUUUCUUUUUUUCGUUUCUUCCAUUUAUCUUUUCCAGGUCCCGGUCAGCAAAUCAACGUGCUUGAAACUGCACGUAACCGGCGGCGAAAAGAUGGAGCAGGCGAGACAAAGCUGACUUUUGACUGGACUCGUCUCGUCGUUUGUUCUCACCAUGCCGUACUCAAACAGGAUUACUGCCGGUUGUACUAUCCAAAAGCAAGGCAGAAGAGUUCUGUUAAUCGUUUUUGUCGUUUUACCUGCUGCAACUACGAGGACAAUCUUCUUCGCGGAACGCUCUGCAAAAAGGAGAGCAAAAUGUCAGGAAAAAAGAACGGGAGCAUUACACAGGAAGGUUAUAUAUAUUUGCUUUUGAUGAAACAGAAGUCG